rnacentral:rRNA from 1 species
GUGUCAGCCGCCGCGGUAAUACGGAGGGUGCAAGCGUUAUCCGGAUUCAUUGGGUUUAAAGGGUCCGUAGGCGGGGCGGUAAGUCAGUGGUGAAAGCCUGUAGCUUAACUAUAGAACUGCCAUUGAUACUGCCGUCCUUGAGUAUAGUUGAGGUGGGCGGAAUACAGCAUGUAGCGGUGAAAUGCUUAGAUAUGCUGUAGAACACCGAUUGCGAAGGCAGCUCACUAAACUAUUACUGACGCUGAGGGACGAAAGCGUGGGGAGCGAACAGGAUUAGAUACCCUGGUAGUCCACGCUGUAAACGAUGAUCACUAGUUGUUGGCGAUAUACUGUCAGCGGCCAAGCGAAAGUGAUAAGUGAUCCACCUGGGGAGUACGAUCGCAAGGUUGAAACUUAAAGGAAUUGGCGGGG